ensembl:lncRNA
AGGGUUCCUUGAGGUGCAGAGCAGUGUUGACACUUGUGACUGCUCAGUCUCCUCACCUCUUACAGAAUAUACCAGUCUUGUGGAUGUAGAAAACAGGAAAAAUGCUUACAAGUAACAGCUCUGUGAAGUUCCACCAAGCUGCCAUGUAAUAAUGUUAAUCUGAGGAUCCUCCUUCAUUGUCUUCUGAUGCAAUUAAAGGAGCCAAAGGAGAGCUGAGGAGAACAACAAUCUCCAUGGGAGCAUAAGAAAAGCCAUGAGAGUGUAAAAGACAUACAAAAACUACGCAUAGGAAACAGGCUAGACAUUUUUAUGUCAUGCACAACAGAAAAGCAGGGCAGAAAUUUCAUGUACUCAGGCAGCCUUCUGAGGCCACCUUUUCCUUAUACCUCUGGGUUAGAGCCAGCAGGCUGGAAAAAUGCAGCAGAACAGCACAGCCCGAAGAACAAGACUCAGUGGGCUGUUCUCCAAGAGCCUGUGCCAACUGACCGAGAAGUUAGUCAGAAUCUAAAAUACAGCUCAGAAGCAAACUUGCUCCCAUAGUUUUGCUGCUUUUAUCAGUGGUAACACAAAACUACAAGGAACCUGCCAAUGCCUUCACUGCGUUAAAACAUGGUUGAACCUGCUGCUAACUCUGCCCUCAGUUUACUAAGUGCAAGACAUGGAGCCUUGGCCACACAGCUGAAGCUACCAGGCAAGAUCUUCUGAGGCAUUAACAGUGCUCUCUGACGGGCCAGAAGAGUUAGGAGGGAUUUUGGUUUUCCACCACUGGGUUCAAAUGUCUUCUGGGGAUUAGGAAAAAAACAAGACUGCAGAGAGGAGCUGCUCUAAAUCAGGAUUUGGAGAGAGAACAAAUCCAAGAAACGUUCUGAUAUCAAAACCACGCUGAGAGGUGCCUGAGGUACGAGUAUGGUAUAGACCCAGAUAUACUCACUCCUCUGUCUCUAUGCAAACACUUAACCUCUACACUAACCUUUAUCCAGCAUUCCUACUCUGACACAUUCCUUCUUUAUCCCCUUCUCUCUGCAAAUCUUCGUACUGUUUAUUGUGCUGCUCUCCAUCACAGGUGUUGCUUGAACUUGAGAACUGGGGCAUGGACAUGCCCGAAACUAUUUUUAAAACAAAGGCUUUGGCAGAGUGAAUUGUAACACCAAGGCCCUGCAGAACAGACUAUAGUCUCUGCACAACAUCAGGCUUCCAUUUCAAGCAGGAAUAACUGCAGCUUAAUUUAUGCUACGCUUCUGAAAUCACAUCUUAGAAGGGAUGCAAAUAUUGCUGUGCUUCUAAUUUCUUCCUCCCACAGAACAGCUGUGGAGAGUUAGGCACCAAACCAAAGCUCCCCAAAAGCUAAGCAAGGAGCUCCCAAGAAUGUUAGUGAGAUACAACAAGGCCAAGGUCCUCCUCUGCAUCAGACAGAGGGCAGGUUUGAAAGAAAGGCUCCCACUUUACACACAAAUGGUGAAAUAAUUCAUUUUCACCUAGACAUAUCCUUGACUGUCUUUGCAUAGGGCCUGGUCAAGCAUGUGUGUGCCACAAUCAGGUCCUGCAGAGAGCACUGGCUGAAGGAUGGCCAGUUAGAAAGCCUGUAACUGGGUGCAUGUGAGAGG